rnacentral:rRNA from 1 species
UACGUAGGGUGCGAGCGUUACUCGGAAUUACUGGGCGUAAAGCGUGCGCAGGCGGUCUGUUAAGACCGAUGUGAAAUCCCCGGGCUUAACCUGGGAACUGCAUUGGUGACUGGCAGGCUUUGAGUGUGGCAGAGGGAGGUAGAAUUCCACGUGUAGCAGUAAAAUGCGUAGAGAUGUGGAGGAAUACCGAUGGCGAAGGCAGCCUCCUGGGCCAACACUGACGCUCAUGCACGAAAGCGUGGGGAGCAAACAGG